AUUGAACGCUGGCGGCAUGCCUUACACAUGCAAGUCGAACGGCAGCGCGGGAGCAAUCCUGGCGGCGAGUGGCGAACGGGUGAGUAAUACAUCGGAACGUGCCCAAUCGUGGGGGAUAACGCAGCGAAAGCUGUGCUAAUACCGCAUACGAUCUACGGAUGAAAGCAGGGGAUCGCAAGACCUUGCGCGAAUGGAGCGGCCGAUGGCAGAUUAGGUAGUUGGUGAGGUAAAGGCUCACCAAGCCUUCGAUCUGUAGCUGGUCUGAGAGGACGACCAGCCACACUGGGACUGAGACACGGCCCAGACUCCUACGGGAGGCAGCAGUGGGGAAUUUUGGACAAUGGGCGAAAGCCUGAUCCAGCCAUGCCGCGUGCAGGAUGAAGGCCUGCGGGUUGUAAACUGCUUUUGUACGGAACGAAACGGUUUUUUCUAAUAAAGAAGGCUAAUGACGGUACCGUAAGAAUAAGCACCGGCUAACUACGU
rnacentral:rRNA from 1 species